rnacentral:tRNA from 1 species
GCGCCGGUGGUGAAGGCGAACAUCACUGCCCGGAAAGCAGAAGAUGUGGGUUCGAGUCCCGCCUGGCGCA